ACGGGAGGCAGCAGUGGGGAAUAUUGCACAAUGGGGGAAACCCUGAUGCAGCGACGCCGCGUGAGUGAAGAAGUAUUUCGGUAUGUAAAGCUCUAUCGGCAGGAAAGAAAAUGACGGUACCUGACUAAGAAGCCCCGGCUAACUACGUGCCAGCAGCCGCGGUAAUACGUAGGGGGCAAGCGUUAUCCGGAUUUACUGGGUGUAAAGGGAGCGUAGACGGUAAGGCAAGUCUGAAGUGAAAUGCCAGGGCUCAACCCUGGAACUGCUUUGGAAACUGUCCUACUAGAGUGCAGGAGAGGUAAGUGGAAUUCCUAGUGUAGCGGUGAAAUGCGUAGAUAUUAGGAGGAACACCAGUGGCGAAGGCGGCUUACUGGACUGUAACUGACGUUGAGGCUCGAAAGCGUGGGGAGCAAACGGGAUUAGAUACCCUGGUA
rnacentral:rRNA from 1 species